rfam:Ipomoea nil DNA, scaffold: scaffold2283, cultivar: Tokyo-kokei standard.
GAGGGCAUGCCGGAGUGGUUAUCGGGCAUAACUAGAAAUCAUGUAGGCUUUGCUCGCGUAGGUUUGAAUCUUGCUGCUUAUG